rnacentral:rRNA from 2 species
UUGCUUCUUUACAGGGAGUGGCGAACGGGUGAGUAAUACAUAAGCAAUCUGCCCAUCGGCCUGGGAUAACAGUUGGAAACGACUGCUAAUACCGGAUAGGUGAUGAAGAGGCAUCUCUUGAUCAUUAAAGUUGGGAUACAACACGGAUGGAUGAGCUUAUGGCGUAUUAGCUAGUAGGUGAGGUAACGGCCCACCUAGGCGAUGAUACGUAGCCGACCUGAGAGGGUGACCGGCCACAUUGGGACUGAGACACGGCCCAAACUCC